ACGUCCUACGGGGGGCAGCAGUGGGGGAUAUUGCACAAUGGGGGGAACCCUGAUGCAGCGACGCCGCGUGGGUGAAGAAGCGCUUCGGCGCGUAAAGCCCUGUCAGCAGGGAAGAAAAUGACGGUACCUGAAGAAGAAGCCCCGGCUAACUACGUGCCAGCAGCCGCGGUAAUACGUAGGGGGCAAGCGUUAUCCGGAUUUACUGGGUGUAAAGGGGGCGCAGACGGCGAUGCAAGCCAGGAGGGAAAGCCCGGGGCCCAACCCCGGGACUGCUCUUGGACCUGGGUG
rnacentral:rRNA from 1 species